rnacentral:sRNA from 1 species
GUUUUGAGGAACGUCUAGCUACAAAAAAUUAGAACAGUAUCAUCAACAAAAACAUAAACUCGAGCAACCAUUCAAAAGCACUUGACACUAGUCAGUGAUACGAGAAACAUUCAGGAAUUGUUAGAGAUAAAAUGGGGCAGAUGGACUUUGUAGGUUUCAAUUAAACAACAGAUAAUAUUAUAUGUACUGAAUCAUAAAGACAAGGAUUUACGGUUACAAUGCUUGAAUAAUUAUUGUUUAAGAUAUAACACUAAAUAAACCCCAUAAUCACCUUAUUUACAUUAGUCACCCUUUAGAGCAUAUAAAUAAUAUGCAUAAGCUUGUUGCAUAUAUAACUAAUUCAAGGAACUCUUAAUGACUCAGUGGAGAUAUUUGCAAGUUGAUCAUUUAAAUUAACAAAGCAAUACCUCUUAGCCUUGAAGCUUAUUUGUUCCCUUUUGCUUUUGUACAAACCAGAGAAUUGGUACAAUACUUCUUACCAAGUUUACACUAGCACGACACCUCUGAGGUGGCUUAUGACAGGAGAUUACCAACAAUCAUACAAUGUAUUCCAGGUGAAACAGAAGUGAAACAACCUGCCUAUGGUUGAUUGAGAGCAGAAGUUUUUACAUGGCAUAAGACUUGAUGAGGAAGAUUGUUGAUCUUCACUGACAAUCAGAAAAGUUUCACAUCAAGUGUCGCGUCUAUAUAUCAAGUAUAUACCUCAUGCAGGCAUUGAUCAAAUCCUAAACUUGCUGCAAGGAACUUUGGUCCUUUUCAAGUCUUCACUAAACAGGGUGUUUUUGCUUCUAAGCUGAAAAGAGCCCUGGACACCACAAUGUCUGCCCCACUUUUCAUAGUAAUAUAGUGUUAGAAGACAUCUUCUCAUACACAAGCAGCAGCUUUAGUAGUAGUACAAUGGAAUAACCACUCUAUCAAUUGUCAUAGGUGAGGAAGGUUCACACAAGUCCCAAAGCUAAUGAUAUAAGUUCUGGAGUCGUGCUACACAAAGAGAAUGAUAAGUUCAAGGUACACUAUCAAUUCACGCAGGUGGGACCCAUGGAGCGUGAGGGGGAGGAUCAUUAUGAAAGAUUCGGUUGUGGCAUUUGUUGAAUGAAAGCUAAUCUUUAUAAUGGCUAUUGCUCCUGGAAACACACAACCAGAGACGGUUACUUCCUACUACUUGAAUUGAAAAUAAUAAUCAGAUCCCCCUUCUCAGUGAAUUUUUGUUGAUUAUGAUUCUCUCUCCCUAUCAGUCCCCCCCUAAGCUUCUAUGGACAGGGAUGGCCUCCAACUGAAUAACUCUUCUCAACAGGUAUUCAACCAUUGUUCUCAACACAUGCCCAAAUCACCUAUGAUGAAAAACUAGCAUUAUUUUCUAAUGUUGGAAAUCUCAUAUCAACUGAGAUAUGAUCAAUUAUAUGACAUAUGAAUGUCAAUCUCACCUUACAACCAAGUUGAGUUAAGUUUAAAGUCCAAUUUUUAAGAUGGUAGGAGAGUCUACCCUAACAAAGUUUGUUAGGCCUAGUAUGUUGCCCACUAUCAGACCCCCUCCAUAUAUAGUCCCACAUAUCCAGUCCUCAAUGUGAAGGGGUGUAUUGAAGAUUCAACACCAAGUAGAAAUAUAAUUAAAUUACAGUUUACAACUGGGUGAAAAUCUUACCUCAAACUUAAAAAGUUUGUGAGGUAUGAUUUGUACCCACAUCUUAAGAUAGUAUUUGAACCUAUCCUACAGAGUUUUGUUGG